rnacentral:rRNA from 1 species
GAUGAACGCUGGCGGCGUGCCUAAUACAUGCAAGUCGAGCGAACAGACGAGGAGCUUGCUCCUCUGACGUUAGCGGCGGACGGGUGAGUAACACGUGGAUAACCUACCUAUAAGACUGGGAUAACUUCGGGAAACCGGAGCUAAUACCGGAUAAUAUAUUUAACCGCAUGGUUCAAUAGUGAAAGACGGUUUUGCUGUCACUUAUAGAUGGAUCCGCGCCGCAUUAGCUAGUUGGUAAGGUAACGGCUUACCAAGGCAACGAUGCGUAGCCGACCUGAGAGGGUGAUCGGCCACACUGGAACUGAGACACGGUCCAGACUCCUACGGGAGGGAGCAGUAGGGAAUCUUCCGCAAUGGGCGAAAGCCUGACGGAGCAACGCCGCGUGAGUGAUGAAGGUCUUCGGAUCGUAAAACUCUGUUAUUAGGGAAGAACAAAUGUGUAAGUAACUAUGCACGUCUUGACGGUACCUAAUCAGAAAGCCCCGGCUAACUACGUG